rnacentral:miRNA from 1 species
UUGCGUAUCUGCCAUUAAUGCU